rnacentral:tRNA from 1 species
GGGCUGGUAGCUCAGCUUGGUAGAGCAACUGGCUCUUAACCAGUUGGCCAUGGGUUCAAAUCCCAUCCAGCCCG